AAGCAGGACAUCUACUGUACAGCUGGUGCGGUGCUGUACUGUCGUUCCCCCUGCUUACAGUAACAUGUCUCCAGCUAUCCCUGUCUGUCUACUUCCCCCGACUGCUAGGGACGCACGGUCUCAGACAC
rnacentral:snoRNA from 1 species